AUUGAACGCUGGCGGCAGGCCUAACACAUGCCAGUCGAACUAGUGGCGGACGGGUGAGUAAUGUCUGGGAAACUGCCUGAUGGAGGGGGAUAACUACUGGAAACGGUAGCUAAUACCGCAUACCAUCAGAUGUGCCCAGAUGGGAUUAGCUGUUUGGUGGGGUAACGGCUCACCAAGGCGACGAUCCCUAGCUGGUCUGAGUGGAUGACCAGCCACACUGGAACGGAGACACGGUCCAGACUCCUACGGGAGGCAGCAGUGGGGAAUAUUGCACAAUGGGCGCGAGCCGGAUGCAGCCAUGCCGCGUGUAUGAAGAAGGCCUUCGGGUUGUAAACUACUUUCAGCGGUGAGGCGUUACCCGCAGAAGAAGCACCGGCUAACUCCGGUCCAGCCGCCGCGGUAAUAC
rnacentral:rRNA from 1 species